CACGUAGGGCGCAAGCGUUGUCCGGAAUUAUUGGGCGUAAAGAGCUCGUAGGCGGUCUGUUGCGUCCGCUGUGAAAUCUCGGGGCUUAACCCCGAGCCUGCAGUGGAUACGGGCAGACUAGAGGUAGGUAGGGGAGAAUGGAAUUCCCGGUGUAGCGGUGAAAUGCGCAGAUAUCAGGAGGAACACCGGUGGCGAAGGCGGUUCUCUGGGCAUGUCCUGACGCUGAGGAGCGAAAGUGUGGGGAGCGAACAGG
rnacentral:rRNA from 1 species